rnacentral:rRNA from 1 species
UGAGGAAUAUUGGUCAAUGGGCGAGAGCCUGAACCAGCCAAGUCGCGUGAGGGAUGACGGCCCUACGGGUUGUAAACCUCUUUUGCCGGGGAGCAAUGCUCCGCACGAGUGCGGAGCGGGAGAGUACCCGGAGAAAAAGCAUCGGCUAACUCCGUGCCAGCAGCCGCGGUAAUACGGAGGAUGCGAGCGUUAUCCGGAUUUAUUGGGUUUAAAGGGUGCGUAGGCGGAACGCCAAGUCAGCGGUAAAAAAGUUCGGGGCUCAACCCGCUCGUGCGUCGUAAAACUGGUGUCCUUGAGUGGGCGAGAAGUAUGCGGAAUGCGUGGUGUAGCGGUGAAAUGCAUAGAUAUCACGCAGAACUCCGAUUGCGAAGGCAGCAUACCGGCGCCGCACUGACGCUGAAGCACGAAAGCGUGGGUAUCGAACAGGAUUAGAUACC